GAUGAAGAACUUAGCGAAAUGCGAUAAGUAAUGUGAAUUGCAGAAUUCAGUGAAUCAUCGAAUCUUUGAACGCACAUUGCGCCCGCCAGUAUUCUGGCGGGCAUGCCUGUUCGAGCGUCAUUUCAACCAUCAAGCCCCCGGCUUGUGUUGGGGACCUGCGGCUGCCGCAGGCCCUGAAAAGCAGUGGCGGGCUCGCUGUCACACCGAGCGUAGUAGCAUACAUCUCGCUCUGGGCGUGCUGCGGGUUCCGGCCGUUAAACCACCUUCAUAGCCCAAGGUUGACCUCGGAUCAGGUAGGAAGACCCGCUGAACUUAAGCAUAUCAAUAAGCGGAGGA
rnacentral:misc_RNA from 1 species